rnacentral:rRNA from 1 species
CCUACGGGAGGCAGCAGUGAGGAAUAUUGGUCAAUGGACGAGAGUCUGAACCAGCCAAGUAGCGUGAAGGAUGACUGCCCUAUGGGUUGUAAACUUCUUUUAUAAAGGAAUAAAACGAGGCACGUGUGCCUUUUUGCAUGUACUUUAUGAAUAAGGAUCGGCUAACUCCGUGCCAGCAGCCGCGGUAAUACGGAGGAUUCGAGCGUUAUCCGGAUUUAUUGGGUUUAAAGGGUGCGCGGGGGGCGUGUCAAGCAGGUGGUAAAAUAGGGGGGCUCAACCCGGUAGAGCCGUUUGUACUGGCAGGCUUGAGUUCAGGUGAGGUAGGCGGAAUUCGUGGUGUAGCGGUGAAAUGCUUAGAUAUCACGAAGAACUCCGAUUGCGAAGGCAGCCUACCAGUCUGCGACUGACGCUCAGGCACGAAAGUGUGGGUAUCGAACAGGAUUAGAUACCCGAGUAGUC